rnacentral:pre_miRNA from 14 species
UACUCAUAUACACAAAUGUAUACAUACAUAUGAAAGAACCCGGAGCGGGGAGACCCUCACUCAAGUCUUGGGAUGAUGCGACCCCCCAAGAACUCACGUGAGACC